rnacentral:rRNA from 1 species
GUCGUCAGCUCGUGUCGUGAGAUGUUGGUUAAGUCCCGCAACGAGCGCAACCCCUAUUGUUAGUUUGCCAUCAUUCAGUUUGGGCACUCUAGCGAGACUGCCGGUAAUAAACCGGAGGAGGUGGGGAUGACGUCAAAUCAUCACGCCCCUUAUGACCUGGGCUACACACGUGCUACAAUGGUUGGUACAACGAGUUGCGAGUCGGUGACGGCGAGCUAAUCUCUUAAAGCCAAUCUCAGUUCGGAUUGUAGGCUGCAACUCGCCUACAUGAAGUCGGAAUCGCUAGUAAUCGCGGAUCAGCACGCCGCGGUGAAUACGUUCCCGGGCCUU